rnacentral:lncRNA from 1 species
GAAGGGAAAAGGACUCCAACCUGGGAAUGUGAACGCUCCAAUCCAGGCUCUACCACUAUCUAUGUGUCCAAGAAUGUCCUCUAACUGCUGUCAGCCUCACUCUUCUCGUGUGCAAAACACAUUGUUGACCCGUUCUUUCUACAAACAUGGCAACAUCCAUAGACACAGUUGUGGAUCAAACAUGGAGAGAGGACCCCUGCUGUCUCCUUGCCCUGGCGGCAGCCUCUUACUGAUGUGUAACAGUUUCCUCUGAGAUUAAAACAUUCCAUCCUCUAGGGGUGCUCCUCAGGCAAGGAGGUAAACAAUUAAAAAACAGCUUCAGGAACUCCCUGAAACUGACCAGAUUGAGUAGGCUCCUCCCUCCCAGAGUAAACAAAGUGGCAAGUCCCUUUUAGAAGAAGCAAAGCCUAGCAGCACAGAAGACUCACAGUGGAAAAGAGACUGAGACCAGACCUGCUGCCUGAGAGAAGCAGAAACCAGCCUGCUUGCCUGGAAGAAAUUUAAAGCGACUAAGGCACCUGGAAGGGACAUUCUCCUAGCUGUUUUUACAGUGUAACGUGCUCCAGGUUUUCUGGCUUUUCUGAGCUGUCACCCACCCUGGGGUGGACUUUGGUGAUGCAGCUGUCUUUGAGUCAUUUCUGCUCCUUUAAGUAACCCCAAUAAAACUUAUUGGUUCAUCAAGUUGGACUCUGGUGGUACCAGUACUUUGGUCUAUCAUGGGUUCCCUACUUGGGGUGAUGAGACAAAUGUGUUUCCUCUCCUCAGAAAAAGUUUUGUCACACGACACUUGCAUUUGAGCAAAUCUAGGCAUUUCCCCGUGUUGCAUUAUGCGUUUGGGCACUGUUGUGAUGUUUACAGGGGAGAGGUAAAUGUCAUACGCUCUUUGCCCUAAGACCCCUCCACACUCAAAGAUGGAACAGCGUUCAUAUUUCUUAUAAAUAGGUCACUACAAGGAUGAACUGCACAUGGAUGCUGGGCUAUGGGUCCGGCUUUCUGCUAGGACUGCAACUGUAUGGGAACACUUCCUGGCUGCAUGUUGUCUGAAACUGACUUAACCUCUCCUGGAUAGGAAUGAUAGCUAGUGGCUCCCCUCACCCCGUUGUUGGAAGGUGACAGAUGGCUGUGUGAUCUGAACUCAGCCUUCAUGGAGAGCCCAUAGGCUUCCUGACAGCGUUGGUUGUGUCUGCUUUCACUCCUUCCCUCUGUCCAUCACCCCAGAAAUACUUUUAUUUUUUAAAAAAAGAACAAGAACAAAUUGUUCUGUUGUUGUUUUUUUUUUAAAAGACUUUUUAAAAAAUUAUUUAUAUGAGUACACUGCAGCCGUCUUCAGACACACACCAGAGAGGGCAUCAGAUCCCAUUACAGAUGGUUGUGAGCCACCAUGUAGUUGCUGGGAAUUGAACUCAGGACCUCUGGAAGAGCUGUCAGUGCUCUGAAACACUGAGCCAUCUCUCCAGCCCCAGAAACAGUUUUUUGUUUGUUUUUUUUGGGCUUUUGGUUUUGGUUUUUUGUUUUUGUUUUUUGUUUUUUGUUUUUUGUUUUUUGUUUUUUUGAGACAGAAUUUCUCAGUGUAGCCCUGGCAACUCUGGAAUUCACUCUGUAGACCAGGUUAUCCUUGAACUCAAAAUUUGCUUAAAAGCAUAUGCUACCACUGCCUGACUCCAGAAACAGUACUUUUAACUGGAAUGUGGUCCCUGCCAGGAGAAUUGGCAGCAAACUCGUGAAGUUUAGCUGAGGAUGGUAGUUUAGCCUGGUCAUAAUAGUUCAUGCCUAUAAUGGUCAUAAUGGUUCAUGCCUAUAAUUUUAACACUAGGGAGCCUGAGGCAGGAGGAUUGUGAGUUCAAAGUGAGACAGGGCUACCCAGGGAAACCUUUAUUUAAAAUGGGGGAUGGCAGUAGCUUAAAAUGAAGAGCGUGAAAAGGAAUUUCAGGAGCUGGGGAAAUAACAGAACUUGGAUUUGGGGUGCUUUCUACAUCAUUGAAAACAAUAACUCUUGGAAACUUCAGUCAGGGGCAGGAGAGAUGGGCAGGUGCACACUUGUUCACGAAGAAGACCUGGGUUCUAUUCCAAGCAUCCACAUGGUGGUUUACAGCCAUCCAUAACUCCAGUUCCAGGGCAUUCGAAGUUCUCUUCUGACAGUAUGUAUGACAGCACACUCACAUACACGCCAGCAAAACAUUCAUGAAUAAUAAUAACAAUAACAACAACAGCAAUAAUAAUAAUAAAUGCCAGCUUGAUGGUGGUGUCACAUGGCUUUAAUCCUAGCAUUUUGAGUCAGAGGUAGACAGAUCUCUGUGAGUUCGAGCCCAGGUCUACAGAGCAAGUUCCAGGACAGCCAAGGCUACAUAGAGAAACCCUGUCUAG